GACGAACGCUGGCGGCGUGCUUAACACAUGCAAGUCGAACGAAGUGGCGAACGGGUGAGUAAUACUUGGUUAACCUGCCCUCCUUUUUGGGAUAAUCCUUGGAAACGGGGUCUAAUACCGAAUAAAGGGGGAUGGGCUCGGGGCCUAUCGGCUUGGUGGUGGUGUGAUGGCUUACCAAGGCGGUGACGGGUCGCCGGCCUGAGAGGGUGAACGGCCACAGUGGGACGGAGCAGAGGCCCAGGCUACGAAGCGGUGGGGAAGUGGGGGAUAUGGAAGAAUGGGUGAAAGCCUGAUGCAGCGACGCCGCGUGGGGGUUGAGGGCUUUAGGGUUGUAAACCUCUGGCGCUAUCGAACGGGUAGGUGGAGAGGAAGCGACGGCUAACUACGUGCCAGCAGCCGCGGUAAUAC
rnacentral:rRNA from 1 species